GGGAAUACAUAUCAGUGACAUUUACCUUGGACUAUGUCUCCAUGCCUGUAAAAACAAGAGGAUGGCAGAGCAGAUCAGGUGGCAUAGGCCAUCCAUUCCACUUUCUUGGUCUGGUUGAUGGCCAGGCAGGAGAUGAUAGAGACCAUUGAAAACUUGACCUGGAAAUACUGUCUGGCAUCUUAUAAGUAUCCAUCAGGACAUCAGAAUUCGACAACCCAGUGUAUGCUUUCAGGAUGUUCCUGUGCACUUUGUUUGAACGUGCAAGAACUAUAGGGCCUGGUGAUCAAAUCUCAACCUUGGAACUCACAGGAAUUCACAUCCUAGCAUUACUUUGGCAGAUGGAGGCUGAAAUUGAAUUGCUGCUGACUGUUGUCCCCUGUUAUGGCCUGUGGAGAUAUGACAAUUGAGGAAGAACUUAAAAGAAUGCCAAGUAACAGAGCAUGAAGCAGUGGGUGUGACUGGUGCUGAAGACAUUUUAUGGCUGGUAGUAUUUGGCAAGAAAAAAAUAUGCAUCCUUGACUGUAGCUUUGCAAAAUAAAUUCCACCAUCAACCAUG